rnacentral:rRNA from 1 species
GAAAGCUAUUUAGGUAGCGCCUCGUGAAUUCAUCUCCGGGGGUAGAGCACUGUUUCGGCAAGGGGGUCAUCCCGACUUACCAACCCGAUGCAAACUGCGAAUACCGGAGAAUGUUAUCACGGGAGACACACGGCGGGUGCUAACGUCCGUCGUGAAGAGGGAAACAACCCAGACCGCCAGCUAAGGUCCCAAAGUCAUGGUUAAGUGGGAAACGAUGUGGGAAGGCCCAGACAGCCAGGAUGUUGGCUUAGAAGCAGCCAUCAUUUAAAGAAAGCGUAAUAGCUCACUGGUCGAGUCGGCCUGCGCGGAAGAUGUAACGGGGCUAAACCAUGCACCGAAGCUGCGGCAGCGACGCUGAUGCGUUGUUGGGUAGGGGAGCGUUCUGUAAGCCUGCGAAGGUGUGCUGUGAGGCAUGCUGGAGGUAUCAGAAGUGCGAAUGCUGACAUAAGUAACGAUAAAGCGGGUGAAAAGCCCGCUCGCCGGAAGACCAAGGGUUCCUGUCCAACGUUAAUCGGGGCAGGGUGAGUCGACCCCUAAGGCGAGGCCGAAAGGCGUAGUCGAUGGGAAACAGGUUAAUAUUCCUGUGCUUGGUGUUACUGCGAAGGGGGGACGGAGAAGGCUAUGUUGGCCGGGCGACGGUUGUCCCGGUUUAAGCGUGUAGGCUGGUUUUCCAGGCAAAUCCGGAAAAUCAAGGCUGAGGCGUGAUGACGAGGCACUACGGUGCUGAAGCAACAAAUGCCCUGCUUCCAGGAAAAGCCUCUAAGCAUCAGGUAACAUCAAAUCGUACCCCAAACCGACACAGGUGGUCAGGUAGAGAAUACCAAGGCGCUUGAGAGAACUCGGGUGAAGGAACUAGGCAAAAUGGUGCCGUAACUUCGGGAGAAGGCACGCUGAUAUGUAGGUGAAGUCCCUCGCGGAUGGAGCUGAAAUCAGUCGAAGAUACCAGCUGGCUGCAACUGUUUAUUAAAAACACAGCACUGUGCAAACACGAAAGUGGACGUAUACGGUGUGACGCCUGCCCGGUGCCGGAAGGUUAAUUGAUGGGGUCAGCGCAAGCGAAGCUCUUGAUCGAAGCCCCGGUAAACGGCGGCCGUAACUAUAACGGUCCUAAGGUAGCGAAAUUCCUUGUCGGGUAAGUUCCGACCUGCACGAAUGGCGUAAUGAUGGCCAGGCUGUCUCCACCCGAGACUCAGUGAAAUUGAACUCGCUGUGAAGAUGCAGUGUACCCGCGGCAAGACGGAAAGACCCCGUGAACCUUUACUAUAGCUUGACACUGAACAUUGAGCCUUGAUGUGUAGGAUAGGUGGGAGGCUUUGAAGUGUGGACGCCAGUCUGCAUGGAGCCGACCUUGAAAUACCACCCUUUAAUGUUU